rnacentral:lncRNA from 1 species
ACGGAAAAGUCUGCAGGUGGUGUUGGGACUCACGUGCAGCAGUGAGCAGAGGGUCCGCUCGUGUCCGGAGCAGACAGAAGCCUCCAAUGGCAUAUCAUGGUGGCCGGUCCUCUCCCAGCCAGAAUCUCCUGCUAGCUCUGUAAAAUCCUCAUUUUUGCGACCCUUUCCAAGUCCUCUCUUUGGAGAUUCCUGUUAAGUCAUGGGAGCCUCUGCGAAUUUUCUGACUCAUGCCCCUCAAAGAUGAGACAGCCAGAGUCCUUACCUAGUGCAGGUUGUAUCCAGUAGCUGUGAGGACGCCCCGCUCCCCACGGCCUCCAGCGUUUUGCGUUUUGUUCCGAUUUAGGAGAGAACGGAGAUGAGAGUGUUUGGCUUGCCCUGGAGGGCUCGGGGUUGUCAAUAAACAGAUAAUGCGCGAGAUGGUCUUUGAGGAGGUGAUAUUGGUGUGACUGUAGGGGUAUAAAGAGAGGUGCAUUAGGUAGAAAAGAAUGAGAAGGGCAGCUGGGAAAAUUUGUGAAAGAAUCUUUUUAUAUACUUUUCUCAAUCACAUCAGAAGCAUCUUGAGGACCGAUGACAUAGCUAAUGUAAAUUUCUCUGUCUCCUACAGACAGUACUAAGCGUAGAGGUAUUUUCUCCCAGGAAAAUGAAGAACCAGGAUGCUUAACCCAAAUGAAAGCUGGUAUUAUAGUGCGCCCGCACGUGGAAAGGCUGUUCGUCCUCACCACCUCCUUGGGACGGAGGCCGACCCACCAUGAUGAGCAGAGGUCACUAAAUUGCCUUGUCCAUGCUGCUUGGUACGACAGUGAGGAUUAGAACCCAAUCUACCCACUGCCAGAGGCAUAGAGGAAAUGAGAUUCGGAAACUGAGUCUGCACUCUGGGAGAGGCGCUACCCUCGGAUGGAGGAUAUGAAAAUUCAAUUUGGAGCAUGAAAUUCAGAAAAU